rnacentral:ribozyme from 1 species
UAGAGUUCGUUUUACUACGUAUUUCUUUAUUUAUCGACCCUCGAUUAAUAUAAUUUCUAUAUUUUUAAAAGGAGGUGAUCCAACCGCACCUUCAGUACGGUUACCUUGUUCCGACUUCACCC